UACGUAGGGUGCAAGCGUUGUCCGGAAUUAUUGGGCGUAAAGAGCUCGUAGGCGGUUUGUUGCGUCGGCUGUGAAAUCCCGAGGCUCAACCUCGGGUCUGCAGUCGAUACGAGCAAACUAGAGUGUUGCAGGGGAGACUGGAAUUCCUGGUGUAGCGGUGAAAUGCGCAGAUAUCGGGAGGAACACCAGAGGCGAAGGCGGCUUCCUGGACCGAUUCUGACACUGAGGAGCGAAAGCGUGGGGAGCGAUCCGG
rnacentral:rRNA from 1 species